rnacentral:rRNA from 1 species
GUGCAUGGCGCAGCUAUACAUGCAAGUCGAGCGGAGUGAUUUUGAAAGCUUGCUUUCAAAAUCAUUUAGCGGCGGACGGGUGAGUAACACGUAGGCAACCUGCCCCUUAGACUGGGAUAACUACCGGAAACGGUAGCUAAUACCGGAUAAUUCCUUUCUUCUCCUGAAGAGAGGAUGAAAGAUGGAGCAAUCUAUCACUGAGGGAUGGGCCUGCGGCGCAUUAGCUAGUUGGUGAGGUAACGGCUCACCAAGGCGACGAUGCGUAGCCGACCUGAGAGGGUGAACGGCCACACUGGGACUGAGACACGGCCCAGACUCCUACGGGAGGCAGCAGUAGGGAAUCUUCCGCAAUGGGCGAAAGCCUGACGGAGCAAUGCCGCGUGAGUGAUGAAGGUUUUCGGAUCGUAAAGCUCUGUUGCCAGGGAAGAACGUCCGGUAGAGUAACUGCUACCGGAGUGACGGUACCUGAGAAGAAAGCCCCGGCUAACUACGUGCCAGCAGCCGCGGUAAUACGUAGGGGGCAAGCGUUGUCCGGAAUUAUUGGGCGUAAAGCGCGCGCAGGCGGCUAUUUAAGUCUGGUGUUUAAACCUUGGGCUCAACCUGAGGUCGCACUGGAAACUGGGUGGCUUGAGUACAGAAGAGGAAAGUGGAAUUCCACGUGUAGCGGUGAAAUGCGUAGAUAUGUGGAGGAACACCAGUGGCGAAGGCGACUUUCUGGGCUGUAACUGACGCUGAGGCGCGAAAGCGUGGGAGCAAACAGGAUUAGAUACCCUGGUAGUCCACGCCGUAAACGAUGAGUGCUAGGUGUUAGGGGUUUCGAUACCCUUGGUGCCGAAGUUAACACAGUAAGCACUCCGCCUGGGGAGUACGGUCGCAAGACUGAAACUCAAAGGAAUUGACGGGGACCCGCACAAGCAGUGGAGUAUGUGGUUUAAUUCGAAGCAACGCGAAGAACCUUACCAGGUCUUGACAUCCCGAUGUAAGCAUUAGAGAUAGUGCCCUCUUCGGAGCAUUGGAGACAGUGGUGCAUGGUUGUCGUCAGCUCGUGUCGUGAGAUGUUGGGUAAGUCCCGCAACGAGCGCACCCUAUGCUAGUGCCAGCACAUGAUGUGGCACUCUAGCAGACUGCGUGACAACCGAGAAGUGGGGAUGACGUCAAUCAUCAUGCCCUAUGACUGGCUACCACGUACUAC